GUUUCAUUAGACCUCAGUGCCCAUGUGCUUCUGGGCUCCACUGCCUUUUUGGUGUUCUGGGAUUACUAGGGAGAUCACUGCUUAGGGACCUCCAGUCUGUAUUGAAGAAAGAGAAGAAUUGGGCAGUGAGGUAUGGACAAGAGAGAGAACGGUGUGAGCCACAAUUGCACAAGCAGGGGAGUCAAGGUCCAACCCUGGGCAGCCUCAGAACAGAACCAGAAGUGUGAGAGGAAGGGGGGCCAUGCAAGAGCUGGGGAGACAGAAAGAGGCUGGUGGAGAGAAAGCGAGGAAAGGUGGUCUCCUGGCUUUUCUACAUCUUCCUUUUCAAGAAGAGAGCUUAAGACCAGCCACCAAGGCCAUCGCCAUCCCUCCCUGUGGGCUAGUGCAUCUGCCCAUGCUGCCCAUCUCCACUCUGGUCUGUUCUUCUCUGCAGGCAGUGGUCUCAAAUGCAAAUGUGACUGUAUUACUACCCUGCACCUUUGACUAGAGGAUAGAGCUCAGGCUCCUUAGUGUGACACCCAGGUUCUGGGCUCUUCAAACAUCUUCAGUUUCAUCUCACCCCCAUGUUUCCAAAAGAACCAUGCACAGAGACACUUUGCUCCAGCCAUAAUGCUCUCACUUUGUCACACCAUGCCAUUUCCUGCUUCCUUGCCUUUCUUUCCCUUUGCAGUGUUCUCUUAGCCACAGCCUCCUUCGUCCUCCUAAUAUCUCAGCUCCUCUGUGCAGCCCUCCCCAAGCUCCACUCUGUGUUGGAUACCUCUCCACUUUGCCCCUACAGCAUCUGGUGCCUACUCUGGGCACCAUUUACUUCCCUCUUAAGUAACUCACUUCUGGGCACUGGGCUCCUUGAAGGAAGAGUGGGGUCUAAUUCAUCUUCCAGCCCUUGGUACAGGACCCAGUUCGCAGAAGGUACUAAGUGAGGAGCUGAGGGUGUAGCUCAGUGGCAAAGCACACACACAGCCUGUGUGAAGCCCUGGGUUCCAUUCUCGGCACCCCCCACCCCACCCCAUGAGGGUAUUCAGUGAACAAGAAUCUUAUUUCUGAAUGCUAGAAAUGGUGGGAGAUAUUGGUACCUGAGAGAAAACCCUUGGUGGCAUAACCCCUUGCACUUCUCAUUGGUUUUCUUGGGCCGCUGUGGUUUGCAUGGGCCCCUCAAGCCCAUCACUUAUGAGCCCCAUCCUGCUUUUCUGCAGGGCUCUAUGUAAUUGGGACAUACCUUGUAGUUACAUGACAUAGCUUAAUCAGCAACUCUUUUUG
rnacentral:lncRNA from 1 species